CCUGCUGAGAAGUCUUCCAACACAAGCGACCAACUCAGGUCUUUCUGCCUGAGUCCAAGAGACACAGAACUGGCUGCUGUCCAGAGCUUGAUAAGACCCAGGCUGAUAAGUUCCAGAGCUUGGGCCUUGAAGAGUCUCCCAUUGGUGUUACCUUCACCUCAGAAACCUCUUCCCAGCCCUCUGGGAAGAGUGGACCAACUUGUGUCUCUUUGAGUUUCCAGUUGACCUCAGCACUAACCACACUUCCUGUUUGGUCUGAAUGGCCCCUCCUGACUUCCUCCUCUUUCUGUGAACAGCAACUAAGCUGAUUUGUCAUCUAGCAUUACAAGGAGGUGCCCCUGAAGGACGCUAAGGAGUACGCUGAAUCCAUAGGUGCCAUCGUGGUGGAGACCAGCGCGAAGAAUGCCAUUAACAUCGAGGAGCUCUUUCAAGGAAUCAGCCGCCAGAUCCCACCCUUGGGCCCUCAGGAAAAUGGAAACAGCGGCGGGAUCAAGCUUGGGAAUCAGAGCUUGCAAGCCAGCCGUCGGUGCUGCUGAGCCAAGGGCAUGGCAUACAGAGUAAGAAGGAAGGAGCCAGAGCCCUCUUUGUUGGUGUCCAGUGCACACACAAGGACCCCACCCGUGGGGCUAACUACCUGCCGGAGAGUGAGCAGCUUUGUACCCUGGGACACCUGCUGCAGGAUGCUGAACAGGGACGUUUCCUGCAAAGAAAUGAUAGAAAACUCUGGAAAACUCACCACCACCGCAACAUGGCCUUCAGUUUAUGAAAUGCACACAGCAAGGCUUGUACUUGCUAGGUAAUAGAUAUAGUUGCCGUUUUUUUUUUUUUUUUUUGUUAAAGAGGUAUUAGAAAAGUUUUAGAUUGGUCCACACACCUCAGAGUGCUGUUCUUUGCUAAUUUCCUAUGUCACCUAGGCAAUCUCAAUAAUGUCUCCAGGGCCAGGGCCUUCCUUUCUGGCCAGUUCACCAAAAGGCAAAGGCUAUAAUAGGAGGUUAGCGCUUAGCUGGCUUUGGAAGUAAGUCUUUAUUAGUUUUCUGAGGGAGAUCAGAGAUGCACAGCUGGACCACUGCUUAAACUGAAAAGUGAACUCCUGUAAGAGAGACAAAAGUUGCAUUAGAAACCACCAUCCCUAUCUCCUUUCAUUUAUCUGAUGGACAUUUUUCUAAGGUAUGGUCAUCUGUAACCCAACCAAAUCAAACUAGAAUGUUACAUAUAAUUUUGGAGUGGUGGGGGCUGAUGAAAAGAGUUAAAAUUAGUUGCUAU
rnacentral:lncRNA from 1 species